rnacentral:lncRNA from 1 species
GCUGCCCUAUCCCUUCCCCAUUUUCACUUCUUCUCGCUGCAUUCCUUCUCCUCUCCUCCUUCUUUCCUUCUCUUUCUCUUCUCCCCUUCUCCUCUCUCCUUUUCCCUUUCUUCUUUUCUCCUAUUCUCCUUCAUUUCCCUUUCAUUUCCCCCUUGUUCUUUCCGGCAUCUCUUUCUUCUUUUCUCCCCUUCCUUCUUUUCAUUUCAUCUUCUUACCAUGCUUUUUUUAUCCACUUCAUCCAAUUCCUCCAUCACUCUCUCCAUGACAGUCGCCGAUCUCAUCUCCCCAUCUUCUCUCUCUAGUACGACAACACAUGAUUUACGUCAAACACCAGAAAUGUCUCACUUUCCUGCUCCUGUUUUCUAUUAUGUGUAAGGGAUUUUGCCUAUCUGAGGUAAUUAGUGAGGGAAUUUUUUUCAACUUUUUCGAGUUAACUAAAAAUUUGUAGUUCCCUAAUUUUAUUAUGGUUUUGUAGUUUUUGUGCAAUUCAAUCUAUUUUUAUGACUAAUUUGCUAAUUAUCAAACUUCUCACACAUUGUUCUAUUUGAACCACAUUUAUUUUAUCUAAUUUGUUAAUAUUUAGUGAUGUUUUUAGCAUCAAUUGCCAUUGAGAUUUUGUUAAUUCAUGUUUUCUCAUGUGAUGGAUUGUUGUUCUGCAGUGAAGAGCACCGAAAGAAGAAGAAGAAAAGAGAAUAGGGGUAGGGAAAGGAGAAAGGUAACACCGACGAAAAAAAGAAGAAAAGGAAAAGAAGAUAGGAAAAAGGAAAGUCAUCAUUAUGUUUUCUUUAACCACAAGCUGGUGGUCUAGUGGUAAAAUGCGGAUUACGAGGCUUCUUUAAAACUAAAAAGUGGAGGUCUCGGGUUCAAAAUUCGCUGCUGGAGUGAAAGCUAGAAUUGUGGCUAGGAGGAGGCUGAAAUGCCUCUGUAAGUCUUCCUGGUCCCCGGCAGGAGUAGAUAACCGUGACUUGCCACCAGUUGUCCCUUUUUAAAAAAUAAUAAUAAUUAUUAUGUUUUCUUUAUUUUGUUUAUAAACACUUUGUAUAAUGAGAUAUAUUGCUGAAGAACAUUACCAAUGGAAGCAUUUAUGUCAGAUAUGGAUUUUUAAUUUUUAAUUUUUUAAAUGAGCAUGGGUGUCGGAUAAAGGAGCAUUUUUGUUUAUUUUUAUUUUUAUUCAAAACAUAAAUUUAGUUUAUAUUCUUUUAUAUUUUUAUAUUUUUUUAUUAUGUCGGUUAUAUGUGACAACAUUGUUUUUAUAUCCAACGGGAUUUCUCAACAAUUGAUGUCGCCUAUAACCGAGGGGAGUAUUAAUGUCACUUGUAUCCGAUACUAUUUUCUUGGCGGAUUAAGAGUCAUAUCUGACAGCAAAGGCCUUUUUGUUACGCAAGAAUUGUUGUCAGUAAUUUUAUCCGCCACUACAUGAAUUUUUGUCGAUUUUUUGCUAAUAUCCGACAUAAAUAGGUUUUUCUUGUCAUUUUUUAGAAUGAUACUACUGAGUACUUUUGUAGUAGUGACAUAAAGUCAUCGCGGUAGAGCGAGACCACAUCAAGUCACCGUUGACAGACGAGACUACAUAACGCAUCACACAAAGGCGAAGACCAAUCUAACGAAAACAGUAGCGCCACCACGGUGCACAUAAGGAGAGUGAAAACAACUACACUACUCCGAGAAGGAAUCCACCGGUCCGCUCAACAUAGAGGGGGACAAGGCACACAGGCUAAGACCACAUAUAAAUUCGCCUGAGUGAGGUACUAGCAUCCACACAUCGUGCACCAAAAGGGCUAGC